rnacentral:rRNA from 1 species
UUUUAUGGAGAGUUUGAUCCUGGCUCAGAGUGAACGCUGGCGGCGUGCCUAAUACAUGCAAGUCGAACGAUGAAGCUUCUAGCUUGCUAGAGUGCUGAUUAGUGGCGCACGGGUGAGUAACGCAUAGGUCAUGUGCCUCUUAGUUUGGGAUAGCCAUUGGAAACGAUGAUUAAUACCAGAUACUCCCUACGGGGGAAAGAUUUAUCGCUAAGAGAUCAGCCUAUGUCCUAUCAGCUUGUUGGUAAGGUAAUGGCUUACCAAGGCUAUGACGGGUAUCCGGCCUGAGAGGGUGAACGGACACACUGGAACUGAGACACGGUCCAGACUCCUACGGGAGGCAGCAGUAGGGAAUAUUGCUCAAUGGGGGAAACCCUGAAGCAGCAACGCCGCGUGGAGGAUGAAGGUUUUAGGAUUGUAAACUCCUUUUGUUAGAGAAGAUAAUGACGGUAUCUAACGAAUAAGCACCGGCUAACUCCGUGCCAGCAGCCGCGGUAAUACGGAGGGUGCAAGCGUUACUCGGAAUCACUGGGCGUAAAGAGCGCGUAGGCGGGAUAGUCAGUCAGGUGUGAAAUCCUAUGGCUUAACCAUAGAACUGCAUUUGAAACUACUAUUCUAGAGUGUGGGAGAGGUAGGUGGAAUUCUUGGUGUAGGGGUAAAAUCCGUAGAGAUCAAGAGGAAUACUCAUUGCGAAGGCGACCUGCUGGAACAUUACUGACGCUGAUUGUGCGAAAGCGUGGGGAGCAAACAGGAUUAGAUACCCUGGUAGUCCACGCCCUAAACGAUGGAUGCUAGUUGUUGGAGGGCUUAGUCUCUCCAGUAAUGCAGCUAACGCAUUAAGCAUCCCGCCUGGGGAGUACGGUCGCAAGAUUAAAACUCAAAGGAAUAGACGGGGACCCGCACAAGCGGUGGAGCAUGUGGUUUAAUUCGAAGAUACACGAAGAACCUUACCUAGGCUUGACAUUGAGAGAAUCCGCUAGAAAUAGUGGAAUGUCUAGCUUGCUAGACCUUGAAAACAGGUGCUGCACGGCUGUCGUCAGCUCGUGUCGUGAGAUGUUGGGUUAAGUCCCGCAACGAGCGCAACCCCCUUUCUUAGUUGCUAACAGGUUAUGCUGAGAACUCUAAGGAUACUGCCUCCGUAAGGAGGAGGAAGGUGGGGACGACGUCAAGUCAUCAUGGCCCUUACGCCUAGGGCUACACACGUGCUACAAUGGGGUGCACAAAGAGAAGCAAUACUGCGAAGUGGAGCCAAUCUUCAAAACGCCUCUCAGUUCGGAUUGUAGGCUGCAACUCGCCUGCAUGAAGCUGGAAUCGCUAGUAAUCGCAAAUCAGCCAUGUUGCGGUGAAUACGUUCCCGGGUCUUGUACUCACCGCCCGUCACACCAUGGGAGUUGUGUUUGCCUUAAGUCAGGAUGCUAAAUUGGCUACUGCCCACGGCACACACAGCGACUGGGGUGAAGUCGUAACAAGGUAACCGUAGGUGAACCUGCGGUUGGAUCACCUCCUUUCUA